CUUUCUCUUUCCUUCAUCUUUUUCCUUCCCUUUCUCUCUCUAGGCUGAUGGAAACCGAGAGAAAGUCAUGCAGCAGAUUGGUGUUUUGGGAGUGAUAGGAGCUACCGAAUUACAAGGGUUAGCUGAGGGAAUUUGAGGUAAAGUAAACCUAAGGGUGAUUGGGAAAAGUGGAAGAUAGUGGAGGGGCUGCUGCCUUGGUGAAUUCUGGGCUGUCAAGCAGGAAUUGUGGGUGGCUGGAGCUAAGGGCAACCUGGUGGAGCAUUAGAUUAAACUGGCCGACAGGAUGAUCUUGGCCUGGUAGAGUGGCCAAAUCAGAGUUGCAACUGAGGAAACUUGGAAAUUGGAGUAUACCAGGAACUAAAGAGGGAUUGUGAAGAACAAAAAGUUGCUGCCGGGCUGCAGCCUUGGUGGAUCUGGGCGCCCGAAUUGAGAAGGAACUUGAUGGAGUUGGUGCUCGAGUGAAAUUCCUUGGUGUGCCAAGCUGGAGAAAGGAGAUUAAGCUGAGUGCAGCUUGGUGGAUUUUCGAAUUCAGGAAGGAAGGGUAAGCGUGCUCGGAAGUUCAAAUUGACAUUCCGACGGAUCUAUGGUGCACUAAUUACGGUAGAAGCCGUUCUAGCUCUAGUUGCACUGAGUCGCGAGAGCUCGUUAUUGACACAGUUCGAGACGUUGAUUCCAGUUUGUUGGCAUCCCUACAGGUGGGUGGUGCUAUCCGAAGUCAUCGAAUCCCUCUUUAU